UACGUAGGGCGCAAGCGUUAUCCGGAAUUAUUGGGCGUAAAGAGCUCGUAGGCGGUUUGUCGCGUCUGCCGUGAAAGUCCGGGGCUCAACUCCGGAUCUGCGGUGGGUACGGGCAGACUAGAGUGAUGUAGGGGAGACUGGAAUUCCUGGUGUAGCGGUGAAAUGCGCAGAUAUCAGGAGGAACACCGAUGGCGAAGGCAGGUCUCUGGGCAUUAACUGACGCUGAGGCGCGACAGCGUGGGGAGCAAACAGG
rnacentral:rRNA from 1 species